AGCGUGGUAAAGGCGCGGUUUUUGCCCGGUAUGGUUCCGCCGUGACGGGCCAUUCACAAGUGCUAACGAUAACACCGUUACACUCGCUGCUGCCGCCUAAACAGCGGACGUAAGCGCGGUCCGGGGGGCACCGGGCAACAGAAGCCCCCCACU
rnacentral:tmRNA from 1 species